AUGAAAAAAAAAUUGGACUGAAAAGAAAUAUAUAUAUAUAUAUAUAUAUAUAUAUAUGUGUAUGUACAUAUAUAUUACAAGUCUACUCAAAGACAGGCAAUUGUUUAGUUUGGUUGAAUUUUCUUUUUUCUGCCAAGACAAUGGAUGCUCUUAAACUGUCAAAAGCUACAUUUUGUCAAAGGGGCUUUUUUUUAUUCUCAAUUUUCCAACACCUUUUUUAUGAAGAUACAACAAAGUUGACAGCUGCUUCAUAACUGUUACAUAUGAAAAAGUAAAGAAUCUUGGAUGGAUAUGAGUCCUAUUUGAACAGUUGGUUGCUCUCACUUUUUGUGAUAUGCAGUAAAUCAGUCUUUUGACUUACCUUGAGUCUUCUUAUGGGAUGAAGCUCAUUUUGCAAAUGGCAUAUGCAUAUGAAUGUUACAGAGGUGGCCUUUAAUCUCUGGACUGAACUUUACCCUAUGUCAUCCUGCGGAUAAGCAAUGGAACUUGAAAGGGUUUUUAGAACUUGUGUGGGAAAAAAGGAUUUAUUAACAAUUUGGACACAUGACUCCUGCAUGGAAGUACACUGCUCUGCUACACAGAAAUACUUUAGGGGAAAAGAUGCACACUAUAUCCUUUGGAUUUUUUGUCUGCUGAAUCCUAGUCUGCUCCCUCCUUUGUCGAAAAAAAAAAAAAAAGAUUUGCUAUGAAAAAUCAAGAGGCAUUCAUUAUGCAAAAUAUUGGAUAUAGUGUUAACUUCCUGAUGACUUCUGUGACAUUGGGGCACUGACAUAAAAUGCCUUUCAAGGAUCAUGCCUCUUCAGGGGUUAGCACCUCUUUUUGUGCUUUGCUUACUUUGACACAACCCCAAGUUUUGAAAAACUAAACCUGCUGGGACUUGAAAGAUCAUAAGGUGACUUAAAGUGCCACGGAAUCCAGCGGCUGUAAGAUACGUCUGUAUCUGCCUCCCUUGCAUUGCCAGUGGAUUGAAGGACAACAUACAUAUAUAAGUUAAUUAUAAUAUGCACAAUGUUCUGUGUGUUUUUUUUUUUUUUUUUUUGUGCCCACUUACCCCCACCCCUUUUUACAUUAUUUCUGGAUCAGGGUACGAAAAUUGUUUUCUUUUGUUGCUUUUGCACCUCAGACCCUACCUGUUUCCCUCUUGACAGUUAAUAACUGCACGAUAAGGAACCUAUUUUUAGGUCCCUCCCUAAUCUCCUUGGCUUCUUCCGUUUAACAGUAUCUGCAUGAUAAAUGGGCUCCAUGUCAAGAUGGGAGAGAAACGGAGCAAUAGACUCGUCAGCCAAAUCUUUCAGCUGUAGGACAACCAGCAGUUGAUUUUGGAUAUGGGAGCCAAGUGCUUGAGAUUUCUGUGGCCUGGAAAUAAAACAACAGAACUUAAAGUCAGAACAUUGUAUAAAUGUUUCUACUGUAAAUAAUUAAUCUUUUUGUUGAAAAGGAGUAAUUCCAUCAUUUCUUUAUGUUCACAUGGCCUUAAUUGUACAAAGACACCCUGUGGUGCAAAAAGUCAUUUUUAAGACAACAAAAAAGGCUUCUGUUGAAGGGGAAAAUUUGAUUUUAAAAAUGGAAAACACAGAAGUGAAAAUUGACUGGAUUUUUGAAUUUGGAAUUCCAUCCCAAUGCACAUCCUUUCCACCUCUUCCUCCAAAAAAGAUUAAUGAUUAUUGCUGAAUAAAGAAAGUAAACAAAACAAAGCAAGCUUAAUGCUUGUUGCCUGUAUGUAGCGAAGUAUCUGAAGGUCUCGUCAUAACACCUGAUUUUUCUUGCAGUCAUCUGUUAUGUCCAGUUACUACACAAGCAAGGUAACUCUAUCCUGUGAGACCUCUCAUGGUCUGACCCUUAUCUCUGAAUCUUGUGUUGUCUCAUUAAAAGCUUGCUCCGGUGACUGUAUUCCACUUUGCAUUUAUUUUUUUAAGAGGUUUGUGCCAUUGGCUGUUUAAUUUAAGCUGCUCAAUUUUGCAGCUGAUGGUACGUGACAGUAGCUAGAAGGCAGCUCUUCCCUGAGCAGGAACAGUGAAUGAACAUUGACUUUUUUCAUUUGAGUUCCACCACUUAAACAUUUCCUUUUACUGCUUAAUUGCUCCUAGUGAAUUCUGGGACCCCCUAUACUUUGUAUUGGCAUUAAUUUUCACUAAGGCCUCCUGAUUCUUCAGUCCAUUUUUUUGGCAGUGCUUUUCUUUUUGUUCAUAAGUUAUCUUUUUACUGAUGACAUUAUUGGCCACGUAUAUUCAAUAUUUUGAAUUGGUUUAUGUUAAUUGCGCCCCAGUGUGCUUUGAAGUUUGCCACUUUCCUGUGCAGGUAAGAGUUGCCUACCUAGUUUUGUGCUUGUGAAAAGGUUUAAACUUAAUGCAGACAGGGACAUUAUUAUUUUUCUUUAAGAAAUGGGGUUAAUAGAGGUUUUUUUUCUGUUUGCUGUUUUAAUGUCUCUAGUGUGUAAUGAACCCAGUCAAUAUUUUUAAAUUGUUUUUGAAUUGUUCUUUUGAAGCGUAACCAAGAAUUUCUGAAUAAUGUGAAAUUUCAUUCCUUAAAAAAUGGGGUGGUAGACAUGUUUAUGGCUGGAUGUUUUGCUAUAAAGGUAAGAUUAUUAUAAAUGUAUGUUUUUUCUUUUCAUCUCUUGGUGUUUGGUUGUCUCUUUACCAAUGCAGCAACCAGCUAGCUAAAAUCCACAGGGCCGUUUUAGCCUUCUUAGGUAUCUUAAGUAAUGGCUUUAAAGAACUUUUUUCAUGUGAACUCCUGUAAAGUUUCACAGUUUCAAAAACUCGCAUCACAAGCUUACUUUUGUUUUGUUUUUGUUUGUUUAUCCUCACCCCACCCCACCUCUUUCUCCAUGGAGCAAGUAGUUACAAAUCUGUGUACCUGUGCUGGCAUUCAGCUACAUUAGUGCCUUUUCAUGUGUUUCUCCCCUGUUGCUGUUCCUGGUUAUCCCUUUGUACUUGGGAACUAAUUGGAAUUCAAGUCCAGUUUAGCUUGUUUUGCAAAAAGCAUUAAAGUUUGUACUUUGGAUGAGUAAAGUUUACAGAUAACCUCCUUUGAUGUUAAGUAUGUAGAGUGUGACUUUGUCUGUAAAGGCAGUUGAUCCAUUUUAGUUAAAACACUACUGCUACUCUGAAAGUUUUAACUGUAAGAGAGUGGCUCUGAUAGUUAUAAAUGUUUGUUAAUAUGUGUACGUAUGUGUAUACUUUUUUUUUCUUAAAAAAAAAAAAAAGUCAGUGUUGACUAGAUUGUUUUAAGCAACUUGUACAGUUUAUGCUCAAAGUAUUACGGUAAAAUUACCUUAUUUCUUGGACAUGAUAUUCUUCUCCGGUGGCUUUACAGUCUUUUAUUAAGAGUACAUGAAGGUGUUGACAUAGCCACAUGUAAGUUUGUGAAAAUGAAGUGUUAUUACUACAAGUAUGGAAUAAGGAAGCAAAGUGUCGUCUUUUGGGAGUUGUUGACACCAAAUAUGCCGACCGCUGUAUUGUUUUGCUGGCUAUCCCCCACAUCCACUCCCUGAAAAUAAAACGCAAACACACACACUUUUUGUCAAGCUUGGAACCCUUUCGGCAGUGUAUCUUUUUCAAAAUCUGGAUAAAGGAUGGAAGUAUAAAAAAAGCCCCAGUGACUCUCUUUGGUGAUGGUCCAGAAGGUUUUUCAGAAUCACUCAAUGGUAUUUUUAGUUUGCAUUUGUUGAAAAGGCCAUUAUGUUAUACUGUUAUCCUCAGGCAACUUAUUUUUUCUCAUUGUACAUAUUUGUUUAUAGCAGGAAUAUUAAUUAGUAGACCCCAAACACUAGACAAAAUGCUAAACGGAUUUAGAUUCAUCAAGUUUUUUUUCUUUUGUUGACAAAGCUUAUUUUUGGUGCCGUGUCCCAUAUAAUUUAAAAUGUGACAAUUUCAGCAGUUUUAUUUUCCCUUUUUAUUAAUGGAUGCUAUUGGUUAAAGUAUAUGUAAGUUGAUGGUACCAUGCUGGCUUAUAAAAUUACAUGCAUGUUUUGUUGCAGUAAUAUUCGCUUACAUCACUUGCUUAAAUUUUAGUCAUUUAAGAAAAUCUUUUGACAGAAAAUGUAUUGUUUUCAUAGCUCUUUUCUGACAUUUUGAUGAUUUUUGCAUUAUUAAUUUUGAAGACUGCUAGUGAUUCAAUUCUGAAAUAUCUGCUCAGCACCUGAGUUAGUUGAAUAGCUGGACAUUUGUAGAUUCAACUACAAUCUGUUAGGUGUUUGGCAGUGUAACUGAGGGGACGAACUUCAUGUACUUCUGUUCUUUAUUUAAUGUUGACAGAAUUAAAUGAUCUGUUGGAGAGUUAGGUUUUCAUUUUCUGUUUCUUAAUAUUACUUGUGGUAACAUAUGCACUCAGAACCUUUUGAUAUGCUUUUAUUUGAAAUUAUAUUAAAGGUCCUUAUGUGUUUUUGUACCAAUAGUGUUUUAAGUCAAUAUUAAAUAUGCAAAUAUAUUCACUGUGAUCCUAGCAGCUUGAGAUAAAGCUGGACUGUGACUUUGUCUUUUUCUGAACUCUAAAGGCUUAGGCAAAAGUAUGAUUUAUUAUCAUUGUUUUAAGAAUAUAGUUAGGUUAUAAGCUGUUUUUCUAACUGCAUUUUACUGGAUGCCCAUAAAUCAAACUUUAUGUUCUUAAUUUUUUUUUUUUUGGGAAAGUAAUGGGUGACUUUCAUUUUGAAAUGACCUUUUGUGCACACUUAGUGUGCUUUUGUGGACCAUCAAGCUAUUUAACUUUUCUCCAACUUUGCAUAUAAGUUUAAACUUAUUUGUUAAGAUUAGAGUAACAGAAGCAUUUUAUUUUUAAUUUCCAUGUGCUUACUGUACUUUGUUAAUUAUUCUUAGAAAUCUGCACUGUAUUUGUAAAACAUUUAUGCACCCAUCUGUGCACAUCAGAAUACUUUGUUCUCCCUUGUAGAUUUACAUUGCUUAAUUGUCUACUGUAUUCAAUGGGCACUACUCAUUUAAGGCCGCCUUACAUCCUAAUAUUACAGUUAGUUUCAGUUAACCAUUUCAGAAAUUUGUCUUCGUAAUACAAUGUAUUGUAGUUUUGCGGUUACGUUCUUCAUCCAGAUAUUUAGAUUUUUUAGGUUCUCCUGCUUACAUCUUAUGGUAGCUAUGCAUUGCGUUUCAUACAACUUUGUAGAGCAUUUGUUUGGCAUGCAACAAUUUGACUCAAUAUUCCUUUCAUUUCAUAAUGGAAAAUUGGCUUUAAUGAGGAAAAACAUUAAUUAUAGGUUUAAUCCUAGGUUUGUAUAAAAAUAUAAAAAUAACUGGAUCAUAAUUCCUUAGUUAAUGAAUGUAUUAAUUUGCAUGUAAUGAUGAUUAUUUACAGUUAAGACCACACUGAAUUCAAAACGUUUUCACAAAAUUGUCUUGCUGCUUUUUUAUUUUUUUUAUUCUUUCUGGAUGGGAGCUUGACAAUGUUCUACACACUUUAAGCUGGAACCUUUGUAUGUAGCAAUGAAGGCUGACCUUUUUGCUAAUUUUUGAUAUGUGUGAUACAGGUCACCUUGAAUAGUGUUCAUUGCAAAGUACUUCACAUUGAUGUGGAAAUUGAUACUUUAUUAUUUCACCUCUGUGUUUUGUUUAGCUGUACAGCAGGGUGUCCAUUGAGUAUUUCAGGGAGAACCAAAGGAUUCAACACACUUUCCCAUCCUCUACUAACCCCUAAGGUUUGGUGCUUAAAUUUGAAAUAGAUAAAUGAUUUUCUACCUUUUCACAAGCCACUGUUCCACUGCUGUUUAACAUUGUGAAUGUUUUGGAAAUUGUUAAUACAAGUGAAAAAAAAUGUAAAUAGUUCCCACAUCCCCUAUGUCAUGAUCAACAAAAAAAUAAAUAAAUGAAAAGAAAGUGAAAAUGUUUA